rnacentral:rRNA from 1 species
GACGAACGCUGGCGGCGUGCCUAAUACAUGCAAGUUGAGCGCUGAAGGUUGGUACUUGUACCGACUGGAUGAGCAGCGAACGGGUGAGUAACGCGUGGGGAAUCUGCCUUUGAGCGGGGGACAACAUUUGGAAACGAAUGCUAAUACCGCAUAAAAACUUUAAACACAAGUUUUAAGUUUGAAAGAUGCAAUUGCAUCACUCAAAGAUGAUCCCGGGUUGUAUUAGCUAGUUGGUGAGGUAAAGGCUCACAAAGGCGAUGAUACAUAGCCGACCUGAGAGGGUGAUCGGCCACAUUGGGACUGAGACACGGCCCAAACUCCUACGGGAGGCAGCAGUAGGGAAUCUUCGGCAAUGGACGAAAGUCUGACCGAGCAACGCCGCGUGAGUGAAGAAGGUUUUCGGAUCGUAAAACUCUGUUGGUAGAGAAGAACGUUGGUGAGAGUGGAAAGCUCAUCAAGUGACGGUAACUACCCAGAAAGGGACGGCUAACUACGUGCCAGCCGCCGCAGUAA